rnacentral:rRNA from 1 species
CAGUAGCGUAUAUUAAAGUUGUUGCAGUUAAAAAGCUCGUAGUUGGAUUUCUGGUACGCUGCGCCUGGCCCGCCCACGUUAGUGGUGUGAGUGUCGGUGCGCGGUUGCCAUCCUUCUAGAGAACGUGUCUACCUUUAAUUAGGCCGGAUACGGGAUCUAGAUCAUUUACUUUGAAAAAAUUAGAGUGUUUAAAGCAGGCUUUUGCUAUGAAUACAUUAGCAUGGAAUAAUGAUAUAGGACUUUGGUUCUAUUUUGUUGGUUGUUCGAGAACCGAAGUAAUGAUUGAUAGGGACAGUUGGGGGCAUCAGUAUUCUGAAGCGAGAGGUGAAAUUCUUGGACCUUCGAGACUAACAACUGCGAAGCAUUUGUCCUAGGAUGUUCUUCUUUAAUUCAAGAACGAAAGUUAGGGGGAGUCGAAGAUGAUCAGAUACCGU